rnacentral:rRNA from 1 species
UUGGAGGGCAAGUCUGGUGCCAGCAGCCGCGGUAAUUCCAGCUCCAAUAGCGUAUAUUAAAGUUGUUGCAGUUAAAAAGCUCGUAGUUGAAUUUCGGGGUCAGUAGGUUGGUCGUGCCACCGGUACGUACUGGUCUCACUGAUUCCUCCUUCCUGAUGAGCUGUAAUGCCAUUAAUUUGGUGUUGCAGGGAAUCUGGACUGUUACUUUGAAAAAAUUAGAGUGUUUAAAGCAGGCUAACGCUUGAAUACAUUAGCAUGGAAUAAUGAAAUAGGACGUUCGAUCCUAUUUUGUUGGUUUCUAGGAUUGACGUAAUGACUAAUAGGGAUAGUUGGGGGCAUUAGUAUUCAAUUGUCAGAGGUGAAAUUCUUGGAUUUAUUGAAGACUAACUACUGCGAAAGCAUUUGCCAAGGAUGUUUUCAUUAAUCAAGAACGAAAGUUAGGGGAUCGAAGACGAUCAGAUACCGUCGUAGUCUUAACCAUAAACUAUGCCGACUAGGGAUCGGAUGAUGUUAAUUUUUUAAUGACUCAUUCGGCGCCUUACGGGAAACCAAAGUGUUUGGGUUC